rnacentral:misc_RNA from 1 species
GAAUUGGAUAUGUGGAGGUUCAGGCUGCCAGAAUCGACACGGCCGGAGCUCGCUAGCGCGGUUCUAGAGGACGGAGAGUUGAUUGUGACGGUGCCCAAGGUAGAUGAACUGGAGGAGGAAGGAAAUGAUAAUAAUGGGGAAUUUAGAGGAGGUAUGGGAAAUAAUAACAGUGCUAGGCUUGUGCUUGUACAGUGAUAAUCAUAAUUGCUGCUCUUUAGCUUUUCGCUUUUGUUCUUUUCUUUAAAUGAAUGUUGUUGUGCAAGCUAGGUUUUGAAGUUGGUGGUUUGGAUUAGGUUUUUU